CUGAAACUUUUAAAGCUGUGAUGAUCUCAGAUGAUGAACUUCUUUAAAAAGGACUAACAUUUAUUAUCCAUACAUUAUCUGUACCUGCUGAUCCUGUUCGGGGUCACGGGAUGAUAGAGUCACAGAGACUGACAGGUAGAGGCGGAGUUCACCCUGGACGGUUCACCUGCCCAAUAACUUUCCACCUCCGGGAUUUGAACCAUGGCCUCCUCACCAUGAGGCACACCUGUCUCAGGUGAAGCGGAGAAUGACAGAGAGGACAAUAACAUCAGAACUGGACACCAAAGAACCUCGUCUGGACUUCCUCCACGUCUCCCACAGAGAAGAAUCGUUUCCUAGGAAACAGUCAAGCUGGGAAAGCUCCGGAAAGGUGGACGCCUGCAGUUCCACACCUGACGGUUCUGUUGGCGGUCCCGCUGCUCAGAUCAGCGGCUCGGAGAUCUUUCCAGCUUAGAGAGAGCAGUGAUUGGACCAUCGACUGGACUGAGUGGCCCCGCCCCCUGGGGUUCCAAACAGGAAGUACCUGCUGGCUCCAUUGAGUAAAGCUGUUGUCAGUCAUUCUAUUGAUCAGAAUAAUCAUUCUGGCUCUGAAACGUUUUUAACAUCUGAUCGAUGCUGAGGUUC